GCCUUAUGCUACUCAGCAACACUCACAAAAAUGCCAGUGUUGAAAACCAGCUUCUGGCACUUAAAGAAGUGAACACCAGACAAAAUCUGGAAAUCCGAGGCCUGAAAUACAAAAUCAGCAGCA